UAGCGUAUAUUAAAGUUGUUGCAGUUAAAACGCUCGUAGUCGGAUUUCGGGGCGGAGCCGCCGGUCUGCCGAUGGGUACGCACUGGCGGGGCCGUCCUUCCUUCCGGAGACUGGCCCUACUCUUAGCUGAGCGGGGUCGGGAGUCGGAUCGUUUACUUUGAAAAAAUCAGAGUGUUUCAAGCAGGCAGCUCGCUCUUGCAUGGAUUAGCAUGGGAUAAUGAAAUAGGACUUUGGUGCUAUUUUGUUGGUUUCGAACACCGAAGUAAUGAUUAACAGGGACAGUCAGGGGCACUCGUAUUCCGCCGAGAGAGGUGAAAUUCUCAGACCAGCGGAAGACGAACCACUGCGAAAGCAUUUG
rnacentral:rRNA from 1 species